CCCUACAUUAGAUAUGCGGAUGCAAGGCCACGACGCGACGCGGCGCGGACUGGUUGGAGCUGUGGAAAAUGGCCGGUUGUAUUCGUGCCGGGGGACAGUCAAGAAGCAUCAAGGAUUCAGCCCAGACGAAGACGAGUUAGCUGAGCAAACACCGCUGCGGCACGUCCGCCAACCACCACCAUCUCGCGCGAUAUCGUUUCUCCUCCGAAAUCGAAUCAUCAUGUCGUCUAAUGACCUCUCGCCCGAUGAAUUCAUCGAAAUCUGCCCCUCGCCCAUUCAGGAACCUACAGCCCCCGUAGCCCGUUUUCCAGCCAAUCCGCCGCAACCCGACCCGGCUCUGGUCCAGUUCAUGCGGGAGCAUUGGGGCUUGCUGAGGGGCGAAGUACACAAUUCGAGCCUCUCGAUGCUGCCCGACAGUCGGGACCCCACUGCGCGAAGACACCGCCGAUCACGAGUGCCUACCAACCGUUCUUCCCGGCACCCUUCCUCGCCGGCCUUUUUAGUCCCAUAAUGCAUUACAUCUAGUACAUAAACCAGUAAACUGCUUGUUCAUGAACAUCUGCAUAUCUUGUAUAUGAACAUCUGCAUAUGUUGCUUAUGAACAUGACAAGAUAUAUGAGAGUUGACAAGUCUGCAAAAUGUUCAUGAACAUCUGCAUACCUUGUUCAUGAACAUCUGCAUAUGUUGUUUAUGAUCCGAUAGAUGGCAUGACCGUAUUCUGUAUUUUUGGAGGGGGAUAUAUAUUCAGUCAUUCCUUGGGAAAAAUACCAGGGAAAACGGUACUUCUUAGAAAACAUAAAACUCUGCAGAUGAGUUCGAAUCAUCAUGUCCCCGCUUCAACACACUAUAUGUAAGCACUCAUUUCACCCACCAUUCCCUGUUAUCACCAAGAGGGUACGGAUAUAGUGACGUACAGCACCCUCUGACUAUCAUACUCAAAUUUGGGGCUCGGGACUGCGAGUGUCGUAUUCUGUGGUUCUUUGUUGCAUUGUCUCAAUGCGUGACUGAUGUGUGUUGUUCCAACUUCAUGUUGCAUUUUGACGUGUCCAUCAGCACUCUCCUGCGCUUCUCUUGGUUGCACGCCUAGGAUCGAGUACUAGAAGUCGCGCAAUGCGGGGCGUUGAGACCACCUUGGGGAAGGGGUAUUCGCGCCCUGCAACCACGGUGUUUGGGCGCUUCGACCUCCUUGAGGAAGGGGGCUUAGCGCCCCGCGACCACGCAGCACCACCCCCACCAAAAUAACUUGUUUCCCUGGUCGUGUCCUAAUGCUAGAAUCCAUACUGAAGGACUUCUAGUGCAUGAACCAGAUCUUUGCUUGUUCAUGAAUAUGUAGUUCCUGAACUCAUGCAUAUGUUGUUUAUGAGCGUGACAAAAUUAAUUAUAUCUUAUUGCAGGAUAUCCUCUUUCCUUGUAAGUUAACCACAAUCAGCAAGUUCAAGAACAAGGAACACUUCGUUUAUUAACAAUACUUAAACAUUAUAUAGUUGAAGCAGCUACUAUACCUUCAGUUUCAGGAAUAUUUUCCCCAUCCAUGUUUUGGCUGUAUAACACUCUAACGUUUUUACGAACCAUAAUUUGCACCAUAAACUGCCGUAAACCGUAAACUGCAACAAGCUCGAUCACAAACUAGUAAGUGAUAACAAUUGUAAACAAAGCGAAACAGCGCCUCGCGGAGAAAUGGGUAAGCUCCGAUUGGCGGGAAAUUUGAAUUAUGCGG
rnacentral:lncRNA from 1 species